rnacentral:misc_RNA from 1 species
GUUGGCUCAUUCCUGAUUUGUAGGGAAACUCUUGGUAAUCAGUUUCCAGUUCCACCUAGAUUUGACAGUUCUGGAUUCUGAAUUUCAUGCAGAAGCUCAAGCACUGCUGGUUCCCUGGACGACCUCGCUACUCAUGUCGUUUCUUCUGGGCUGAAGCUGAAACACUGACACAAGCUCAAGAGCUCUUCUCACCACCACCGGUGAGAGCAGACACAUGUGUUUCACUCAUCAAGCAAUGCAGCUCUCUCCAUUCCCUGAAAACCGUCCACGCCUCCAUGCUUCGAUCCCACUUUAACCUCAAUCUCUACUUCUUAACCAAUCUUAUAGCUCAAUACGUUUCCCUUGGCUCCAUCUCUCACGCCUACUCCCUCUUCUCUUCCUCCCACUCCUCUGAUCCUUUCCUCUGGAAUGUCAUGAUCCGUGGCUUCGUCGACCAUGCCCAAUACCAUCGUUCCGUUCUUCUUUACAUUCAAAUGCUAGAACUGGGUAUUCGACCCAACAAUUAUACCUUUCCAUUCGUUAUCAAGGCGUGUGGGUGUCUUCGCAAUGUUGAAUUUGGUAUUCAGGUUCAUGAUGACGUUGUAGAAUUUGGGUACGAGUCAGAUGUUUUUGUUUGCAAUUCCCUCAUUGUCAUGUAUGGUAAAUGUGAACGUUAUGAACUUUCUCGACAAGUGUUUGAUAGAAUGCCUGAGAGAAAUGAAACUAGCUGGAGUACGAUUAUAAGGGCUUGCUCGCUCAAUGGCCAUUAUGAACAAGGGCUGUCAUUGUUUUGGCGGAUGUUGCGUGAGGACAUUAGACCCGAUAGGGCUACAGUUUUGAACGUGAUGGCUUGUGCUCACAGAGUGAAUGAUGCUGAUGAGAUUUGCAGAGUUGCUGUAGUUAAUGGAUUUGAUUUCGAUCAGUAUGUCCACAAUGCAGCUUUGGGCAUGUAUGCACGAUGUGGAAGGAUAGAUUUGGCUCGAAGUAUAUUUGAUGGGAUUUUGAAUAAGGAUAUAGUGACAUGGGCAUCCAUGAUCGAAGCUUAUGCGCAAGCUGAUUUGCCUCUUGAAGCUCUAGGUCUCUUUAAACAGAUGAACUCACAAAGGAUAUUCCCUGAUUCUGUUACCCUUCUUAGCGUGGUUCGAGCUUGUUCUGUUCUAGCAUCCUUUCGGCAUGCACAUGCAGUUCAUGGAAUCAUUAUUCUAACUGGGGGAUUCUUCAACAAUCCACUGGCAGUGGAAACUGCUGUGAUCGAUCUAUACAUGAAAUGUGGAAGCUUAACUUAUGCUAGAAAAGUUUUUGAUAGGAUGCAAAGCAGAAAUAUAAUCACAUGGAGCGCCAUGAUUUCAGGAUAUGGGAUGCAUGGCCUUGGAGGAGAAGCAUACAACCUCUUCAAUCAAAUGAAAUCUUCAGUAAAGCCAGAUCAUAUAGCAUUUGUAUCAAUAUUGUCCGCUUGCAGCCACUCAGGUUUAGUUGCUGAAGGAUGGGAGUGCUUCAAUUCCAUGGCCAGAGAUUUCAGGGUCACACCAAGAACUGAACACUAUGCAUGUAUGGUUGAUCUUUUAGGCAGAGCUGGCAAGUUGGACGAAGCUCGGGUUUUUAUUGAGAGAAUGCCGAUAGGGCCAGAUGCAGGUGUGUGGGGCGCACUGCUUGGGGCUUGUAGAAUACAUUCAAAUAUUGACCUGGCUGAGAUGGCAGCAAAAGCAUUACUUGAUUUGGAUUCAAAGAACCCUGGGAGAUAUGUUCUUUUGUCCAACAUUUAUGCAUCAUCUGGUAAAACAAAAGAUGCUCAUAAGAUCAGAACUCUAAUGAUGGACAGAGGGGUGCGAAAAGUUUCUGGCCACACAAUUAUAGAGAUUAAAAACAAGGUCUAUACUUUUGUGGCUGGGGAUAGGUCACACCCACAGACGGAUCUGAUUUAUUCAGAAUUGGAGAAAGUAAUGGAUAGGAUUCGCCAAGAAGGGUACACUCCAGAUAUGAACUUUGUAUUGCAUGAUGUUGAGGAAGAGACAAAGGAAAAAAUGUUGUAUGUGCACAGUGAGAAGUUGGCCAUUGUUUUUGGGCUCUUGAAUUCAAGGUCAGAGAGCGUGAUUAGAAUUAGGAAAAAUCUCAGAAUUUGUGGGGAUUGUCAUACUGCUACUAAGUUUAUCUCCAAAGUUACAAGAAGGGAAAUUGUAGUGAGAGAUGCACGUAGAUUCCACCACUUCAAGGAUGGAACCUGCUCUUGUGGAGAUUAUUGGUGAAAGAUGUCCUUUGUCCAGUGGAUCGUCAGAUAUGGACAAAUUGAGAACCCAAGAAUGGAUGGUCUUUGAGAUGAGGCAAGAGUCAAGACUGCAAGUUAUACUGGCUUUUUAAACGUUAGCUGGUUGGUAAUUGACCAUGACUCCAUGGUGAAGAUGCAAUGCACAGGAUGUUAACUACCUAUUAUCUUAUCAAGAUCUGGUCUGUGUGGGGCCAGUUCAAAGAAAUUUGUUUUUUAUUCUGCCAUGGCAUCCAAACUCUAAAGAUGCAAACUUGGGAUCUGCAGGGAUUUCAUUAAAAAUAAAUUGCGUACUGUGCCCAAAGUGUAUGCCACUGGAUACUAUCACAAUUUGAAAGCUUUCACCAAUAUAUCUGUUUGCUACAUAUGGUAUAUUAAGCUUGAGAAUUCACAGUUGGGCUGAUCGGUUUCUUAGCUGCUUCAAUUCUUAUAUAUAGGCCAAAAGAAUUUGAGGGCUGAUAGGUUUGAAGGCUGAUUGGUUUCUCUCUCAAAAACACAAUUUUCUUGAGGUGUUGUAGUAUUAAUUGAUUGCAGGAUGCAAUGGGCUUGAUCAAUCUUGGAGAGGAACAAGUUCUUGAAUUGGGAGAAGGGUAUUAUUGGCAUAUAUUUACCUGUUAUGAUUUCUUGCUCCCCUUUUCAAUGUGUUUAUUGCCUUUCAGCUUUCUAGCUUCACAUAAUCUGGUACACUUGUCUGCUUUCUUUAUAAAUUUCUCUGAUAUUAAUGAAAGAAAAUAACCGUCAAGGAAAAGUAAACUUGGAUGUAAUCAAUAAGACUGCAAUAUAAGAGUCUUUAUAGGACUGCACUUUUAAAUUUUAAUGGAAGCUAAUGAUUCGUGUGUUUGGAGAUGUAGAUACUAACUCCUUUCAAUUGGAGAAGGUCACAGUGGAAAUAAUGUGUGUUUUGGUGUUAAUCAAUUUUGAACUACUGCAUCUGGUGUAUGAUGUAACCCAUUUUCUGGUGGAACACACUGGAGGAGAAGACUGUUAAGGAUAUUUAGAACAUUGCAUAUGGACAUCCCACACCAUUAUCAUCUUCUGCAAAGCAUCUGUGCUGAAUUGAAAUUUCCAGGGCUAAUGAUAUAGAGUUUGAAGAGGUGGCGAUUGGCAUAUCCAAGGGACAACAUAAAUCUCCUGAAUUCAAAGAUUUUGAAUGAAACCGAUUUCUUCAAAUGGAUUCAGUGGCCUAAUCCAGAUUAUGAUGACAUUUGCUUUUCUGGUGCUGAAAUUGCUUAAAAAUAGAGAGCUUGGAUAACUCCAACAGAAAGAUCAGAUAAGAAUAACUUCAAGGGAGGCGUAAUCUGCUGAUUAAAGAGGAUUAACUUCAGUUUGUAAGGGAUAAUGUUAGUUGGGUUAUAAAUGUAAUAGGGAAUAAGGGAUAGGGGUAUGUUUUGUAUUCUGAAAUUCUGGCAUGUUGCCUGGGAAAGCAGAAACAUUAGUCUGCGGCAUUGGGAUAUUUCUUAUUCCAUUCUUGAUUGCUUCAUUCAUUAUUUCCUUUAUUGUUCUUGAGUGAAUUUGAUUGUCAUUUGUUCUCAUUCAAGAAGUGAAUAAAAGUUCAUAUUUCCA